rnacentral:rRNA from 1 species
CUUUACUGUAGCCUGGUAUUGGGUUCGGGCUUUGACUGCGCAGGAUAGGUGGGAGACUGAGAAGUGUGCCUUGUGGGGCACAUAGAGUCAACGGUGAGAUACCACUCUGUCAGAGCUAGAAUUCUAACCUUCACCCGUGAUCCGGGGAAGGAACCGUAUCAGGUGGGCAGUUUGACUGGGGCGGUCGCCUCCUAAAAGGUAACGGAGGCGCGCAAAGGUGUUCUCAGGCUGGUUGGAAAUCAGCCGUAGAGUGUAAAGGCAGAAGAACGCUUGACUGUGAGAGUGACAACUCAAGCAGGGACGAAAGUCGGCCUUAGUGAUCCGACGGCACUGAGUGGCAGGGCCGUCGCUCAACGGAUAAAAGUUA